rnacentral:rRNA from 1 species
CGGAAGCCAAGAGAAGCCAAGCGAUUCAAAAAUAUCGGCUUCAAUCGAGAAAAACUACAGCGAGAUUUUCCAGAUAUCUCUGCUGAUGAGCUCAGCGAGAAAGUUGAGCGAAAAAUGAAGCGCCCCCCUGAGUUUGUUUACCGCGAGGCGAUGGAAGACAGCACGGGUGUGUUGAUAAUUUAUCUCUUUGAUUCGCAUUA